rnacentral:rRNA from 1 species
UACGUAGGUGGCGAGCGUUGUCCGGAUUUACUGGGCGUAAAGAGCGCGCAGGCGGCUGGUCAAGUCCGAUGUGAAAGCUCCCGGCUUAACUGGGAAAUUGCAUCGGAAACUGAUCGGCUGGAAGGUGGGAGAGGGUAGCGGAAUUCCCGGUGUAGUGGUGAAAUGCGUAGAUAUCGGGAGGAACACCUGCGGUGUAGACGGCUUACUGGACCAUAACUGACGCUGAGGCACGAAAGCGUGGGUAGCAAACAGG